GGACUACCGGGGUUUCUAAUCCCGUUCGCUACCCUAGCUUUCGUGCCUCAGCGUCAGAUAAGACCCAGUACGCCGCUUUCGCCACCGGUGUUCCUUAGGAUAUCAACGCAUUUCACCGCUCCACCCUAAGUUCCGCGUACCUCUAUCUUCCUCAAGCACAGUAGUUUCGGGCGCAAUUCCUCAGUUGAGCUGGGGGAUUUCACACCCGACUUUCUGCACCGCCUACGCACCCUUUAAGCCCAGUAAUUCCGAAUAACGUUAGCAAGGUUCGUCUUACCGCGGCUGCUGGCAC
rnacentral:rRNA from 1 species